GAAACAAGCAGAUCAGCAAAGGGCCAGCGGGACGGGGAAGAGCACCGAGCUGCCUGCAGAGAGAGACCUUUUUCAGGACGGCGCAGUGUCUACAUUUGGAGAAAUAAUUGGGAAAUCCCUGACAGCGCUGCAAGAGAGAGCUGUAGCUAGAAGGAGCCAGAAAGCAAAGGAACCACCUGAUGGCUGGAGCGCUCAUCACCUCGGCAUAUAUGUGAAAAAUAGCUACGUUUAUCACCUGACCUCCCUUGUAUGAUAAUCUCUAGGUCCAUCCAUGUUGCUGCAAAUGGCAUUAUUUCGUUCCAGGCUAUGUCUUUUGGUUGGAGCAUCUAAUCCAUUCACAUUUAAGUGUCCUUGCUGCCCCCAGUGAGCCACAGCUGACCCCUGCCGCCCAGGAGACCCUCUAAGAUUCGUAGGUAGGUCCAGCCCAGGCUCCUAUGGAGUUACUGCUUUGUUUUGUGUCCCAGUGUACGUGAAACCUUAUGUGCACCCUCCAAGCGUGGAGUCUCUGUUUCCCCCAGUCUUGUGGAGGUCCUGCACACGAGCCCUGCUGGCCUUCAAAGCCAAAUGCUCUGGGGGUUCCUCCUCCCGAUGCCGGACCCUCAGGCUGGGGAGCCUGACGUGGGGCUCAGGACUCUCACUCUUAUGGGAGAACCUCUGCGAUAGAAUUAUUUUCCAGUUUGUGGGUCCCCCACCCAGUGGGUAUAGGAUUUGAUUAUGGGAUUUGAUUAUGUCGCGAAAGCACCCCUCCUACCAUCUUGUUGUGGCUUCUUCUUUGUCUUUGAAUGUAAAAUAUCUUUUUUUGUAGGUGCCAGUCUUCUUUGUCGAUGGCUGUUCAGCAGUCAGUUGUGAUUUUGGUGUUUUCGUGAGAGGAGCGAACACCCCUGGACCCUGAAGAGGGCUCUCUCUGCAAGGUUAGCUGUGGCAGUGCGCCGGGGAGGGGAGCCACGCCUGAAGUACGACCCACAACAGGGGUGAGCUUCCUGCUUCUCCCCUUUUUAUGUUCUGGUUCUGCCCUGGAAAUAGCCUCAAUGCUGAACUGCACAGAGGGUGUGGCAGCAAAAAUGCUGC